rnacentral:rRNA from 1 species
GACCCGACCGCUAUCGGGGUAGGGCUAAGCCAUGCGAGUCGCNCGCCCGGGGGCGCCCGGGAGCGGCGCACGGCUCAGUAACACGUGCCCAACCUACCCUCGGGAGGGGGACACCCCCGGGAAACUGGGGCCAAUCCCCCAUAGGGGAGGGGCGCUGGAAGGCCCCCUCCCCCAAAGGGAUGGCGGCCGAUCCGCCGCCAUCCGCCCGAGGAUGGGGGCACGGCCCAUCAGGUAGUUGGCGGGUUAAAGGCCCGCCAAGCCGAAGACGGGUAGGGGCGGUGAGAGCCGCGAGCCCCGAGAUCGGCACUGAGACAAGGGCCGAGGCCUACGGGGUGCAGCAGGCGCGAAUACUCCGCAAUGCGGGCAACCGCGACGGGGCUACCCCGAGUGCCGGGCGAAGAGCCCGGCUUUUGCCCGGUCUAAAAAGCCGGGAGAAUAAGCGGGGGGCAAGUCUGGUGUCAGCCGCCGCGGUAAUACCAGCUCCGCGAGUGGUCGGGGUGUUUACUGGGCUUAAAGCGCCCGUAGCCGGCCCGGCAAGUCGCUCCUGAAAUCCCAGGGCCCAACCCUGGGGCGGGGGGCGAUACUGCCGGGCUAGGGGGCGGGAGAGGCCGCCGGUACUCCGGGGGUAGGGGCGAAAUCCGUUAAUCCCCGGAGGACCACCAGUGGCGAAAGCGGGCGGCCAGAACGCGCCCGACGGUGAGGGGCGAAAGCCGGGGGAGCAAAGGGGAUUAGAUACCCCUGUAGUCCCGGCCGUAAACGAUGCGGGCUAGCUGUCGGCCGGGCUUAGGGCCCGGCCGGUGGCGAAGGGAAACCGUUAAGCCCGCCGCCUGGGGAGUACGGCCGCAAGGCUGAAACUUAAAGGAAUUGGCGGGGGGGCACCACAAGGGGUGAAGCUUGCGGCUUAAUUGGAGUCAACGCCGGAAACCUCACCCGGGGCGACAGCAGGAUGAAGGCCAGGCUAACGACCUUGCCGGACGAGCUGAGAGGAGGUGCAUGGCCGUCGUCAGCUCGUGCCGUGAGGUGUCCGGUUAAGUCCGGCAACGAGCGAGACCCCCACCCCUAGUUGCUACCCCGUCCUACGGGACGGGGGGCACACUAGGGGGACUGCCGGCGUAAGCCGGAGGAAGGAGGGGGCCACGGCAGGUCAGUAUAGGGACCAUGGGGAAACGCCCAGGUCCCGCUGAAGCCCCGAAAGCCGUGGCCCCAACGGGUAAAUUAACCCCAUCUACAAAAGACAUGGACUGGCGGCUCUACCUAUGUGGUCUCAUAGCUGCAGAUGGCCACCUCGACUGUAGAGGAGAAAUCACAUUGGCACAGAAGAGGAGAGACUUCAUAGAUACAAUCGCAACGAUAAUGAAGACAAACGGCAUAGAUAUAGCGAGCAUUUUCUACGAUAGAAAAGCGGGUGUGUGGAAGCUCAAAACAAGAGACAAAGAUUUCUACAGGUACCUAAUAAACAACGGGCUAAAGUGCGGAAGAAAAAGCUCGGAGAUCAACCCACCCGCCGUUGAACCAACGGCGGGACUCCCAUACGUCAUAGGCUUCAUCGAUGGAGACGGGUGGGUUGAACAAAUUACAAAAAAGUACAGAAGCCGAACAUACACCUAUCUGAGAGUAGGCCUAAAGACGAAAAGUAAAGCGCUAAGGGACUGGAUCGCAGAGGUGCUCAAGGCCAACGGCAUAAGAGCCAACACCGCGGACAAAAAAGACGGAUACGAAAUCCACAUAGAUACGAUAGAGGCGUGGACAGUAGCCAAAAUGUUGCUCAACCCUACCCACCACGAAAGACUAAAACAAAUCCGGGACUCCAGACUCUAACUCAUCUUUCUCCCAACCCGUUGGGGCACGGCCGGGAGACCCCGGGGCUGCACGCGAGCUGCAAUGGCGGGGACAGCGGGAUCCGACCCCGAAAGGGGGAGGCAAUCCCGUAAACCCCGCCCCAGUAGGGAUCGAGGGCUGCAACUCGCCCUCGUGAACGUGGAAUCCCUAGUAACCGCGUGUCACCAACGCGCGGUGAAUACGUCCCUGCCCCUUGCACACACCGCCCGUCGCACCACCCGAGGGAGCCCUCUGCGAGGCCCCUUGCCGACGAGGUGGGGGGACGAGCAGGGGGCUCCCAAGGGGGGUGAA